CUACAAUCAUGCCGUUAACAUCGAGGCUUUUUUCCUGCCCGUGUCUCGUCUCACCAGCGCAUGUGCUGGGUGCUUGGCUGUAUAAAAAGGAUGUGCUAUUCCCAGGAGUAAUUAAAGGCAUGUGCAACUGUUGACAGAAUCUAAGCCCAGAGUGGUAAACACAGCAGCUGGGAUCUGGCAAGAGCCAGGCUUUGAAUGGAGAAUUAAACUUGAUCAAACCGAAAUGAGUUAAAGCUUCAAAGACAAUAUCAUAAACUCGUAUUCCCCAAAAGUCAGUGCUUAGCCUGGAUCAUUUGGAAACAUCUGAUCUGCAGAGGAAGCAAAGAGCCAUUACAUCAAGAGACACAGCAAUCCCAGUUGUCUGGUCUGCAAAUCAAACCAGGGUCGUCUGGUCUGGAUGUCUGACGAG